CCUACGGGAGGCAGCAGUGAGGAAUAUUGGUCAAUGGGCGCAAGCCUGAUCCAGCCAAGUCGCGUGCAGGAUGACGGCCCUACGGGUUGUAAGCUGCUUUUAUACGGGAAUAACGCGCCUUACGUGUAGGGCUUUGCAUGUACCGUAUGCAUACGGACAGGCUAAUUCCGGGCCAGCAGCCGCGGUAAUACGGAAGGUCCGGGCGUUACUCGGAUUGAUUGGGUUUAAAGGGAGCGUAGGCCGCAUGUCAAGCGUGCUGUGAAAUGUACGGGCUCAACCCGGGCAUUGCAGUGGGAACUGGCGUGCUUGAGUCGGCGGGAAGCAGGUAGAAUU
rnacentral:rRNA from 1 species